CAAAAUUCCACUGACGAAGCAACAGAGGAGGUGCUCGGCGCCCGGGUGCACCCGGUGGAGGCUGGGGUGGGGUCCAUCCCACAGCCAGAUGAGGGCACCUGAGGCCUACCAUAAGCAUACAAGAGGACACAGAGGCAGAGGGCUCUGAGGAAACAGACAGCACCUUACGACGCAGAUGGAGAGAUGGCCACGUGGCAUAUGAUGUCUUAGUACCCCAACCAGGGAUCAAACCCCUUGCUGUGGGAUGGUGGCGUCUUAAGCACUGGACCACGGAGAUGGCCCAGGUUGGAUCCCUGAUCAUGGAACUAGAUCCAUACGCCACAAAUAAGAGUUCACGUGUUGCUCCUAAAGAUCCUGCACAGGGCAACAAAGAUCAAAGACACCGCCACUAAG
ensembl:lncRNA